CAAUACUUUAUUUGUAAAAUGUAGGAAGUAGCUCUUAAAAAUGGUGGUACAAAAAUGCGCAAUGUCUCUUAAAAUAUAUAUAUAUUUUUAAAUCAAAAAUAGCAUUUCCUCCCCAAAAAAAUGAACGACUGCGUAAAAUCCCAAAAUAAAUAUUAAAUUUCCAACAGUCAAUACUCAUCCACAUGUCGCCUCUGUCGACUGUUCCUCCACUUUUGGUGACGCCCUUUCUCCUUUGAAUUUCUUUCUCAACUCACAUUCGUACUCUGGAAGAAGGCAGUGUAACGUUUGGUUUUUCACCAACAAAGAAUUCAGCAGGAGAAGUUCCACCCCAUUAGUUUUCAAUGAGGGCACGCAGAGAAACGUGUUGGGGAUUGUGGCGAGAAACCUUCUAGCGGAGCAGUAGAAAAAGUUGAGCUCUGCUCUAUUUUAUGCGAAGCGUUGUCAAGAAGAUGCCUCGCCUCUGGUCUAAAACCCACUUGUGUUAGCAUCCAAGGGAGAAAACGUGUUACUUCCGCUUGUCAUCCUCCUCUCGUCCGCUGUCAGGCGUGAGGAGACAGUGAUGCAAUGCGUCCCGCUCCCUGUCCCAGAAGCCCUGUCACCUGAAGGAAGUGGCAUUAACUACCCUGGACAGCCAGCCACCACUGGGCUGCUGUUGUGGAAUCGUGAUGAAACCAUAUGGAGACUGGGCGGCGUAAAUGACUUCUUAGGAGUGCAGCGAGAUGUGAAGGACGGACUGACAGGAGACGGGAGCGCGGCGAGCACACUAAUGAGCUACAUGCUUCACACCGAGACACGGGGGAGAGAGAGAACGAGAGUGAGAGAGAGAGAGAGAGGUGGAGGGAGGAGGGAAAGGGGUAGUGAGAGGAGGACAGAAAAAAAGAUGGAGAGAAGAGAGGGGGAUGAGGAUGAGAGUGAGUGGUGGAGAGAAGGGGUGAGAAAGAAAGGGGGAGAGAAGAAGAGAGAGAUGGGAUGGAACAGUAAAGUUUGUUAGUUGUGUGGGCCUGCCAUUUCGCAACAUGAGCAUCCAACAAAAUACCUUUGAGACUUUAAGUGCAUUAUGUUUUGUCUCUGUAAAGUGUUAAUGCUACCUGUAUAGUUGGGAACGGGUUGUUAAAAGAGAAGUUAUACUAUAUAGCCAUCUCAUGCUAAAUAUAGGUGAGUGAUGAGUAGUCACAGAAUCUGGCCGAAAGACUAGUGUAAUGAAGAGUGGGUGGUAAUGGGUGUGUUGAUUGUGUUUGCUCUUAGUGGAAUAGUGAGUGACCAUAACGUGUGUGUGUGUGUAGCGUGUGUGUUUGUUAUCCAUCUGUCACCAAAUAUUUAUCUUUAAAAAAUUAAUUAGAUAUGUGCCAUACAGGCGGAGUAAUUUUUUGAUCAAUAAUACCAUUUCUGUUUGAA